UACGUAGGGUGCGAGCGUUAAUCGGAAUUACUGGGCGUAAAGCGUGCGCAGGCGGUUUUGUAAACCAGAUGUGAAAUCCCCGGGCUCAACCUGGGAAUGGCAUUUGGGACUGCAAGGCUGGAGUUUGGCAGAGGAGACUGGAAUUCCUGGUGUAGCAGUGAAAUGCGUAGAUAUCGGGAGGAACACCAGUGGCGAAGGCGGCGACCUGGGCCAAUACUGACGCUGAGGUGCGAAAGCGUGGGGAGCAAACAGG
rnacentral:rRNA from 1 species